UUGGAGGGCAAGUCUGGUGCCAGCAGCCGCGGUAAUUCCAGCUCCAAUAGCGUAUAUUAAAGUUGUUGCAGUUAAAAAGCUCGUAGUUGAAUUUCGGGGUUCAUACGUUGGUCGGGCUUUUUGGUCUGUACUAGCGUAAUGGAUUCCUACCUUCUGAAUAACCGGCAUGUCAUUAAUUUGGUGCGCCGGGGAAGCAGGACUGUUACCUUGAAAAAAUUAGAGUGCUUAAAGCAGGCUAUCGCCUGAAUACAUUAGCAUGGAAUAAUGAAAUAGGACGGCAUGGUUCUAUUUUGUUGGUUUCUAGGAUCACCGUAAUGAUUAAUAGGGAUAGUUGGGGGCAUUAGUAUUCAAUUGUCAGAGGUGAAAUUCUUGGAUUUAUUGAAGACUAACUUCUGCGAAAGCAUUUGCCAAGGAUGUUUUCAUUAAUCAAGAACGAAAGUUAGGGGAUCGAAGACGAUCAGAUACCGUCGUAGUCUUAACCAUAAACUAUGCCGACUAGGGAUCGGAUGAUGUUAAUUUUUUAAUGACUCAUUCGGCGCCUUACGGGAAAC
rnacentral:rRNA from 1 species